CAUCUCUGAGACAGGUACGAUGAACAAGGUCAGUGUUAAAUAGACUCAGAGACAUCAGCUGACCUCUGGUGGCUCCUCCACUCUGGGAGUGACAGGACGAGGAACAGGCUUAUCUUUCUUGGGGGCUGGAUCCUAUCCUUGACUUUUGGUUUGGGUCUUUUCACCAGUGGCUUGAGGACUGAGGCAGAGAGUCCUGCCUCUAACUCUUCAGGUCCUUCAGCACAGCAAGACGAGUUUCCUGCAAUCUGGCGACCACACACAGAAACAAAGCACUGCAGGAGAUGCAGGAGGGAAGGUGUUUCAUGGCAGAGACAGUGUUCACCAAGACUGCUUAAUAAGCCAAAAACUGUAUAUGUCCCACAUAUCCUUCUUGGCUAUAUUUAGUUCAAACCUCGCUCAAAUCCCAUGUGUCAGCAUGAUUUCACUUUGCUUAAGCCUCCAACAUAUAAUUUCUUCACCACUUGGGGGCAGCAGAAACAAGCUAUGUACACACGACUGACCCCUCAGUGUACAGUAAAGGAUAAGAGCAGAGAGUGAACCAGAACAGCAAAGUAGCAGCUGGAAAACCAAAACAAUGAUCUUAAAGAUGCUAAAAGACUCCAUGGAGUUUAGGAUAACUGCAAUGUCUGGUGAUAAUUUUCUUUCAUUAUGAGUGGCCCCCUUUGCAUUUACAUAUCUAUUGUAAAUAUAAAAAUACUGAUGAUAGCUGCUUUAAAGCCAGUAUGUGCAAACUUUAAACAUUUUAAACAGGUGCCCCCAGUAGUAAUAUCAAAAAAGGCAGCUGCUACACAAGUUUGGGGACUUCAUAGUUUGCUGUGCACCUGUGAUGGCUCAAGAUAUUAUACUACUUCCCCAAAGGAUUACAGCAAACACGAAGCUGAAAUGUGGACUAAACACUGCACCAACAACAUUUUAGCCCACUCUUUGGCCUCCAUUUCCUCCAUCAUACGCCUCCUUUUGUCGAGCUGACUCAAGUCAUCCAGCGGAGGAAGGCUGGCCUCCCAAGCUCGUUUGGCACUCGCUCGCUCUAUCAUUUCCACUUCUGC